rnacentral:rRNA from 1 species
GACAGAGGGUGCAAACGUUGUUCGGAUUUACUGGGCGUAAAGGGCGCGUAGGCGGCGUGACAAGUCACUUGUGAAAUCUCCGGGCUUAACUCGGAGCGGUCAAGUGAUACUGUCGUGCUAGAGUGCGGAAGGGGCUACUGGAAUUCUCGGUGUAGCGGUGAAAUGCGUAGAUAUCGAGAGGAACACCUGCGGCGAAGGCGGGUAGCUGGGCCGACACUGACGCUGAUGCGCGAAAGCCAGGGGAGCGAACGGG